GGGACGAACGCUGGCGGCGUGCUUAACACAUGCAAGUCGAGCGGAAAGGCCUUUCGGGGUACUCGAGCGGCGAACGGGUGAGUAACACGUGAGUAAUCUGCCCAUCGCUUCAGGAUAGCCAUCGGAAACGGUGAUUAAUACUGGAUAUGACAUUCCUUCGCAUGUUGGGGUGUGGAAAGUUUUUUCGGCGGUGGAUGUGCUCGCGGCCUAUCAGCUUGGUUGGUGGGGUAAUGGCCUACCAAGGCUUUGACGGGUAGCCGGCCUGAGAGGGUGACCGGCCACACGUGGGACUGAGACACCGGCCAGACUCUACGGGAGCAGCAGUGGGAAUAUGCACAAGUGGGCGCGAAGCCGUGAUGCACGCAACGCCG
rnacentral:rRNA from 1 species